CCUACGGGAUGCAGCAGUGGGGAAUAUUGCACAAUGGGCGCAAGCCUGAUGCAGCCAUGCCGCGUGUAUGAAGAAGGCCUUCGGGUUGUAAAGUACUUUCAGCGGGGAGGAAGGUGUUGUGGUUAAUAACCGCAGCAAUUGACGUUACCCGCAGAAGAAGCACCGGCUAACUCCGUGCCAGCAGCCGCGGUAAUACGGAGGGUGCAAGCGUUAAUCGGAAUUACUGGGCGUAAAGCGCACGCAGGCGGUCUGUCAAGUCGGAUGUGAAAUCCCCGGGCUCAACCUGGGAACUGCAUUCGAAACUGGCAGGCUAGAGUCUUGUAGAGGGGGGUAGAAUUCCAGGUGUAGCGGUGAAAUGCGUAGAGAUCUGGAGGAAUACCGGUGGCGAAGGCGGCCCCCUGGACAAAGGCUGACGCUCAGGUGCGAAAGCGUGGGGAGCAAACAGGAUUAGAUACCCCAGUAGUC
rnacentral:rRNA from 1 species